rnacentral:misc_RNA from 1 species
UCCGUAGGUGAACCUGCGGAAGGAUCAUUAGUGAAUUGCUCUUUGAGCGUUAACUACAUCCAUCUACACCUGUGAACUGUUGAUCGACUUCGGUUGAUUGCUUUUACAAACAUUGUGUGAUGAACGUCAUGUUAUUAUAACAAAAAAUAACUUUCAACAACGGAUCUCUUGGCUCUCGCAUCGAUGAAGAACGCAGCGAAAUGCGAUAAGUAAUGUGAAUUGCAGAAUUCAGUGAAUCAUCGAAUCUUUGAACGCACCUUGCGCUCUCUGGUAUUCCGGAGAGCAUGCCUGUUUGAGUAUCAUGAAAUCUCAACCAUUAGGGUUUCUUAAUGGCUUGGAUUUGGGCGUUGCCAGUUGCCUGGCUCGCCUUAAAAGAGUUAGCGUGUUUAACUUGUCAUAUCUGGCGUAAUAAGUUUCGCUGGUGGACUACUUGAGAAGUGCGCUUCUAUCGUCUUCGGACAAUUCUUGAACUAAGGCCUCAAAUCAAGCAG